CCUACGGGGGGCAGCAGUGAGGAAUAUUGGUCAAUGGGCGGGAGCCUGAACCAGCCAAGCCGCGUGAGGGAAGAAGGUCCAAAGUAUCGUAAACCUCUUUUGUCAAGGAACAAAAGCAGGCACGAGUCCCCGGAUGAUGGUACCUGAAGAAAAAGCAUCGGCUAACUCCGUGCCAUCAGCCGCGGUAAUAGGGAGGCUGCGAGCGUUAUCCGGAUUUCUUGGGUUUAAAGGGGGCGUAGGCGGCCUGUUAAGUCAGCGGUAAAAGCCCGGGGCUAAACCCCGGCGAGCCGUUGAAACGGGCGGGCUGGAGCUGGAGAGAGGUAUGCGGAAUGCGCGGUGUAGCGGUGAAAUGCUUAGAUAUCGCGCAGAACCCCGAUUGCGAAGGCAGCGUACCGGCUCCACACUGACGCUGAGGCACGAAAGCGUGGGUAUCGAACAGGAUUAGAUACCCGGGUAGUC
rnacentral:rRNA from 1 species